UACGGAGGGUGCAAGCGUUAAUCGGAAUUACUGGGCGUAAAGCGCACGCAGGUGGCUGAGUCAGUCGAUUGUGAAAGCCCUGGGCUUAACCUGGGAAUUGCAGUCGAUACUACUCGGCUCGAGUAUGGGAGAGGGCAGUGGAAUUCCCGGUGUAGCGGUGAAAUGCGUAGGUAUCGGGAGGAACAUCAGUGGCGAAGGCGGCUGCCUGGCCCAAUACUGACACUCAGGUGCGACAGCGUGGGGAGCAAACAGG
rnacentral:rRNA from 1 species